rnacentral:rRNA from 1 species
UGGGGAAUUUUGGACAAUGGGGGAAACCCUGAUCCAGCCAUCCCGCGUGUGCGAUGAAGGCCUUCGGGUUGUAAAGCACUUUUGGCAGGAAAGAAACGUCAUGGGUUAAUACCCCGUGAAACUGACGGUACCUGCAGAAUAAGCACCGGCUAACUACGUGCCAGCAGCCGCGGUAAUACGUAGGGUGCAAGCGUUAAUCGGAAUUACUGGGCGUAAAGCGUGCGCAGGCAGUUCGGAAAGAAAGAUGUGAAAUCCCAGAGCUCAACUUUGGAACUGCAUUUUUAACUACCGGUCUAGAGUGUGUCAGAGAGAGGUGGAAUUCCGCGUGUAGCAGUGAACUGCGUAGAUAUGCGGAGGAACACCGAUGGCGAAGGCAGCCUCCUGGGAUAACACUGACGCUCAUGCACGAAAGCGUGGGGAGCAAACAGG